rnacentral:tRNA from 1 species
UCCGGGGUAGCUCAGUUGGCAGAGCAGCGGCCUGUUAAGCCGCUUGUCGCGAGUUCGAGCCUCGCCCCCGGAG